rnacentral:rRNA from 1 species
GUAUUUUAACUGUGCUAAGGUAGCAUAAUCAUUUGUCUUUUAAUUGAGGGCUGGAAUGAAGGGUUGGACGAGGUAUUGGCUUUCUUUAAUUUAGUUUGAAGAAUUUAAUUUUUGAGUUAAAAAGCUUAAAUUUAUUUAUGGGACGAGAAGACCCUAUAGAUCUUUAUAGUUUUAUAUUUUAAUAAUUUGGGGAUUUAUAUAUUUUAAGUAAAUGAACUAUUUUGUUGGGGUGACUGUAGAAUUUGAAUAACUUCUA